GGAAAGAAAUCUUAGGGAGCACCGACUCGUAGGAAAGGAGAUGGCCAUUAAUAGAUUACAAAUAUACAUGUAAAGCAUUUUUCGACUAUUCUUGGAUAUAAGAGUUGGCCAGUGAGAUUGCUGUAUUGAUCAGCGACAGCAGCAGCAUUUUGACAUCACCGAAGUGUGUAGUUAUAGUAUGAAAUAUUGAUUGUGUAUCUAUUCGACGUGAUUGGCCCAGACGUGUCGGUAUGGAAAAGGGAACCUUCAGAUAUUUCCAGGGUGAUAUUUGAUCAUUUCAAGUGCAGUUGGGGAUCCUCACCACCUGGAGCUGGUGGUAAUAGGAGCACCAGGGUCCCCUCGCCACCCCUCCACUCCCGCCCCUUGGCCCCCAUGCCCCCCACCCUCUAACCCCCUCUUCCAGAGGUAAGGGCCUCAGUGUGUGUUCUCUCCCCUCCUCUACCCACCCCAGCAGCGGACGCACAACACAAGCGUCUCCCCAGCUUCCGCUUCCUCCGCGCUGCUGCACCACUGCUGGAGUAUUCACGCUCCAGGCUGUUUUCUUUGAGAGACUAUAAAAAUAUGCAAAUGGCUAUUGUUAAGAGCGAAAAGUAGAGGGUAUUUUUCUCCCCGUACGCCGCUUGUGUUCCUGGUGAGUAUAAUGUGCAGAGAGGGCUGAGGGGUUUCCUUCAGUCUUUAGUCUCUCUCUCUCACACACAGACUCACAAAGACAGAGCUGGAGAUGACCAGGUACAGAGGAAGGAUAUUAGAAAUAUUCUCUCAGGAAGCCAUUGUCUCUUUCCAUUGUGGUCAUAUUCGUAAGAGAAUAUGACCACAACUGUGUAAGAGAGAGAGAGAGAGCGAGAAAGAGAAAGAGAGAGAGAAGAGAGAGAGAGAGAGAGAGAGAGAGAGAGAGAGAGAGAGUGAGAGGGGUAUUAGGAUGAAAUCCAAGCUACACCACGGGUAGUAGCAGCUAGGAAGUCAGGCCUUUAUAUAAAGUCCCUGAGCAGAGAGCGAGAGAGCGAGAGAGUGAGUGAGAGAGAGUGAGAGAAGAGAGAGAGAAAGUUAGUAAGGAGACACAUUUGUAAAGCCCUCACGGUCUCAAGCAGGAAGACUUUUUGAAGUGAUUAUGGAGACAGUUCAGAUCAAAGGAUUUGACAAGUCUGAGUGCUCGCCAAAUACGAGCCGGGCUAAUCACACUGAAACCCUCCGUACAAGACACCACUGGUCCCUCCAGCUGCUUUGCAAAUGUAACGUGACACUUAGGGAUAAACAGAUUAUCAGGGGACAUAAGAGAAAAAAAAACCUCUCAGACUAGUAGAAGUGAAAUAGUUUAUUUAAUGAACUUGGAGACUACCAAUGUACUGUAUAUGGUGGUGUUGAAUAAUAAUUCAUUUUCUGUAAAGUCCUAAUGACCUAAUUUACAUUUUUUUUAAUACUAGUUCUAUGUUACAUGAGGGAAGGGUAGUUGUUAUGUAGGAUGAUAUUUAGCUUUUUCUAUUUUUUUUUGUAUAAUCCAUAGGCCUAAUCUUCCAAACACCUCAAGACAUUUUGAAACUGUCUCUCCUGCAUUCAUUCUCUUUUAAAUGUUGUCAUAAUGUGAUAUCAUAAAUAUAGAGUAAAUUCAUAUGUACAAUUUCCCUUUAUUUCCCUCUUACUUUCACAAAAAUAUUUUAUUUGAUCCUAUUUUCAGUUGUAUCUUAUUCUGCAUUCUAUCAUGAUCAAGAUAAUGUAGAAAUCACAUUUCAAAAGAAUUUACAAUUGGCUGAGAUAUUUCGGCACAAAGUGUGUACCUGUAAAUUAAAUAAUGCAUAUGUAAAUAUGUACCACGCAAACCCAAUAAACAGAACAACCAAACCGUAUGUGUCUCUCUUGUGUCAUGUCACUGGUGACCAGCCGUGUCAUUCCCCAGUGAUCCACUGAGUCCGCUGGGCCAGGGAGUGUCCAGCUGUCCAGUUGUCCAACCAGGGGCCCUCUCCUCUGGGUGACAUCCAUCCCCA
rnacentral:lncRNA from 1 species